rnacentral:rRNA from 1 species
CGCGUAGGCGGCCUGUUAAGUCAGAGGUGAAAUUUCAGAGCUCAACUUUGAAGCGGCCUUUGAAACUGACAGGCUAGAGGAUGGACGGAGAAAACGGAAUUCCACGUGUAGCGGUGAAAUGCGUAGAUAUGUGGAGGAACAUCGGUGGCGAAAGCGGUUUUCUAGUUUAUCCCUGACGCUGAGGCGCGAAAGCAAGGGUAGCAAACA